rnacentral:rRNA from 1 species
GCCAGCGGGUUAGUGCCGGGCACGUCUAGCUGAACUGCCGUUGACAAAACGGAGGAAGGUGGGGAUGACGUCAAAUCAUCAUGCCCUUUAUGUCCUGGGCUACACACGUGCUACAAUGGCCUGUACAGAGGGAAGCGAAAGGGUGACCUGGAGCGAAUCCCAAAAAGCAGGUCUCAGUUCGGAUUGCAGGCUGCAACCCGCCUGCAUGAAGUCGGAAUCGCUAGUAAUCGCAGGUCAGCAUACUGUGGUGAAUACGUUCCCGGGCCUU